UACGUAGGGACCGAGCGUUGUCCGGAAUCAUUGGGCGUAAAGAGCGUGUAGGCGGCUAUUUAAGUCCUGCGUAAAAUCCUGCGGCUCAACCGCAGACGGUCGUGGGAAACUGGAUGGCUAGAGUGCGGGAGAGGAGAGUGGAAUUCCCGGUGUAGCGGUGAAAUGCGCAGAUAUCAGGAGGAACACCAAUUGCGAAGGCAGCUCGCUGGGACGUAACUGACGCUGAGACGCGAAAGCGUGGGGAGCAAACAGG
rnacentral:rRNA from 1 species